rnacentral:miRNA from 1 species
AAUAGUGUAAUCGGAUUAUAGAUC